GCGGACGGGUGAGUAAUGCCUAGGAAUCUGCCUGGUAGUGGGGGAUAACUCGGGGAAACUCGAGCUAAUACCGCAUACGUCCUACGGGAGAAAGCGGGGGAUCUUCGGACCUCGCGCUACCAGAUGAGCCUAGGUCGGAUUAGCUAGUUGGUGAGGUAAAGGCUCACCAAGGCGACGAUCCGUAGCUGGUCUGAGAGGAUGAUCAGCCACACUGGAACUGAGACACGGUCCAGACUCCUACGGGAGGCAGCAGUGGGGAAUAUUGGACAAUGGGCGAAAGCCUGAUCCAGCCAUGCCGCGUGUGUGAAGAAGGUCUUCGGAUUGUAAAGCACUUUAAGUUGGGAGGAAGGGCAGUAAGUUAAUACCUUGCUGUUUUGACGUUACCGACAG
rnacentral:rRNA from 1 species